rnacentral:lncRNA from 1 species
CAACAAACUGUGCUUGGCUAGUCUUCAGACAACAGAUGCAAUCUGUAAUCAGAAGUGAAUUCAGAGCUCUCUUGCUUCAUUGACAGUCUUGGAGAGACCAGUGGUUAACUCUGUGCCUAUGUGAGGCACUGAGAUGGGACCGUAGGGAAAGAUACAUCAGAUUUACUUACUUCCCCAUGUUCUCUUUCCAUCUCUUAGACUUACCAUUUUUCUGCCCAGCUAGAUUUUACUCAUCUUAAAAUAAUCUCACCUCUCUUGCUUAGCCCACUCUGACCUCUGACAGUUAUGCUAUAUCCACUUGACAUUUUGGUAGUUUCACAUAUGUCUGAAACUGAAGGAUGCAAUGGAUAGAAUGCUGGGCCUGGAGUCAGAAAGAUCAGAGUUCAAAUUUGAUCUCAGACCUUUACUUUCUCUGUAACCUUGGUUGGUUAUUUAGCCUCUCUGCCUCGAUUUCCUCAUUUGUAAAACAGGAAUGAUAACAGUACCUAUAUCCCAGGGUGGUGAGAAUAAAAUUAUAUAAUUGCAGCUCACUUAACACAGACACUGGGACAUAAUGAGCCCUUAAUAAAUGUCUAUUCUUUGUUUUCCUUUCUCCCCUCUUUUUCUCCCCUCUCCCUUCCUCCUUCCCUGUGUCCUUCCCUCCCUUUAUGUCCUUCCUCCUCUCCUUUCCUUCCCUUCUAUCUAUCCUUUCUUUCUUUGAACUUCCUUCCUUCCAUCCCUCAGAAAAUCAGCAGAUCCCCAGCAAAUUAAUAACUACAAUGACUUCAGUGAAUGAAGUGAAGAGCCUGGAUACUCAGGAUACAUCACUGGAUACAAUGCUGAACAGAAAAAUCCCAGUCCUGCUCAUCCUAAACAACUCUAGUCCAGGUUCUCCCAGAAGUUAUCCAAAUAGUUCAAAGGUCUUCCUUGCCUUCACUGAGCCCUGGAAGGAUACCUAUGGAGCAUUCAUUGCCUGUCACCUCUAGUUCUGCCUGCCAAUGAGCCCAUCUUCUCUUCCUGUCCCACUGUUCCUUUAUUGCACCCUUUACACCUUUGGAGUUGUGUUUUGAUUUGUAUUGCAAGCUGCUCACAGCACUAGUUCUUCCCUGUAUAUCUCAAGAAGGGGGAAAAAUCAUGACAAAAAGUAUAGUGGUUGGAAAGAAUGGGAUGUCAGGAAAAAGAUUUGGGGACAAAUAAGGGGGAGUAAUGGACAAUAAAACAAAGGUACCAGAACA